UACGUAGGGGGCAAGCGUUAUCCGGAUUUACUGGGUGUAGAGGGAGCGUAGACGGACUUGCAAGACUGAUGUGAAAAUCCGGGGCCCAACCCCGGAACUGCAUUGGAAACUGUAUAUCUAGAGUGUCGGAGAGGCAAGUGGAAUUCCUGGUGUAGCGGUGAAAUGCGUAGAUAUCAGGAGGAACACCAGUGGCGAAGGCGGCUUGCUGGACGAUAACUGACGUUGAGGCUCGAAAGCGUGGGGAGCAAACAGG
rnacentral:rRNA from 1 species